UUAUUCUUUUGAAAAUAUCAUUUUACUCACUUUUUUAACGCUCAGAACUAAAACCGUAACCCCAAACUAACACGUGUGUUUUGGCGUCGUGUGCACGCUCCUGGUUGCGGUGCUGGCUGCCGGCUCGCCCUUCGCUGGAGGAGAGCAGCACGGUGUUUGAGUUGAAGGCACGUCUGUUAGAGCACAUAAGUUAGGCAAAAUGGAGAAGACCAGUGGUUGUUUCUGAUCACAUUUUAUGGCUUCCUGACUUUAACCUUGAUCUUUUAUGAAAAAGUGCUGACUCUGCUAAAACUUGACGGCGAGGGCCCCGGGUGUCUGCACGCAGGGAGCCUGCCCCGGGGAGAGGGGACACGCGUCAGUAUCCUGUCGUGGGGUAGGACGCGCAUUUCCCAUGACGCAGAAAAUCGCUUUCCCCCGGGGCCUCCGCGGUCUGUCCCAUUUCAGCGGCCGGCCGUCUGCGACACCGGGCACAGGAUGGGUGCUCGGGCGUGGCCUGACCAGCGCCGUGAUGGCCAGGACUGUGCCCAGGGUGCUGUUGCCGAGGGGAUGUUCUAAGACACUGGAAGGAAACUCAUUUGUGACAGUCAGGAGUGUUCUUAGCACGGCGUGUGUGAGGUGUGCACGUACUUGUGAAACGGUGGUGAAAACGGCGAUUGCGAGGCGGAGACCGCGGCGUCGUCCGGUGCGUCUUGUCGCAGAGACCAGGUCUGUCGCGGGUGACUGUCUCCUCUUCGCCGUCUCCCGGCGUAGCUCCCGCUCCCGGGCGCUUUGGUGGACGGAGCCCGUGGGUGCCGAGGGCCUCCUGAGGGGCUGGGUGGCCGGCUGCUGGGCCUCAUCGGCGGCUUGCACAGCCCGGGCUCCUGGUCUUCCCCGUGACGGGGCCGGGCCGGUGCCCGCACGACCCGUCAGUGAAAUCCAAGGGCUGCCCUGGGGUUCGGGAGGCACAGCGUUCCUCAGACGCUGGGCCUCUGGGCAGCGUCACUCUGCCGGCAAAGUCCGUCUCAGAACGCAGACUGCUUGCGGCAGUUUACCUUGGGCGAGGCUGAAUUCAGAGACUGUGCUGCUGCUUUACCUCAGGUCUGUGCAGCAAGCAGCUCUGGAGACGUCGUCAGGCCCUGGCGUCCUGGCGUGGCCGGCAGGGGCAGCGCACUGGGGGCACCAGCACCGCAGGAGGGGGUGCGGCCACCGCUCCGUGGGCCCACGUCCUGCCCCGCCGUCUGGGCUGACGACGUGGCAUGUGUGGUCCCAGACAGGGACUCAAGCACGGGGAGUCUAGAGCAGAGACUGUUGACGUCAUGCGUUUGGGAGGUCACACUCCUGUGAGGCGGGCCCCACGGCCAAGCCCUGCAGGCUUGCUUGCGAGGGAAGCCUCCUGUUGAACAAGGGACCUGGGCGGCGGAACAGCCGGGUGCUGGAGCUGUUGCCCUCGGGUCCCGUGCGUCGCGGUGUGUGUGCAUUUGAUAAAGUUCCGGGCGUUCGUCCUGCCCGUCACCUCCCGUUGUCUCGCAGAGGGUGCCUGGGUUCCGGGAGAUGGACAGCGCGGCAGCACCGAGGUCCACGGCAUCCCGGGGAGGGACGGGGUGGCCGUCAGCGCCGCACAGGGAACGGCCUGUUCCGCAGAGACCAGAGCAGACCCAGGCGGACUUCAGCGGAAGGUGUCGCUCUGGGCUGGUGUCCUUGGUGCCACUGAGGACGGAUGAGCCAUUUUCCUCUCAGCACAGAAAGUAGAUUUUUACGAGAAGAAAGCGCUUCUCGGUGGCGAGCUGCUUCCAUGGGGCCACGGGCACGCCCGUGACGCCUUCCCUGACGUUUCGGACGUGGCAGCCUCUUGAGCUCUUGGAUCUUCUUUCCGGAUUCAUUUCCAAUGUGGCCCCUGCGAGCUGCAGAACACUUCUGGCUUCUGGCUCCCACCUGUCUGCUCCUCGAGUCUGAGCUUCUGUGCCAGCCCGGGCUGCUGUCCAGGUGCACGCAGCGACCUCGGGAAGAAAGGCCCAUGGUCUGAACCUUCCCAAGGCCCUGGGGUCGUGGCCGGCUGCGCCAUCAGCGUGGACACAGGGCAUGACCAUUGGCAAUGCCAGGAGCGAGUAGGUUCUCGUGAAUCCAGUCCAUGGGGGCCUCUGGGACGCGUGGCAGAAGGAAAGCAGGGGCGCUGCUGGCCUGCUGGGUGAGAUGCGCACCUUCGCCGGUGGAGAGCCACGUCCCCAUUCACCGUGGUCGGAGGAGCCCACGUCUGCCUUUCGCCCAGAGCACAAGAGAGGGCCUGUGUGACAGGCGGCGGGUGAGGAGGGUGUUUUCCAGGCAGAAGCAGGUGCAAGGGGCUGGAACGGCCUCGGCCAGAGUUUCCGGACAGGAGCUCAGCCCCUGGUAGCAGCAAGUGCUCACGUUGGAUGACCCCAGGGCCUACAGGGAACCCGGUGACGGCAGCUUCCGGUGGGAGGCCACCGAGAUGACCUGCCCGUGUCUUCUAAACUCUUAAGUCCUGUGGACGUGGUCUGCACAGUCCGGUGAGGAUCCUGCCUGUGCCCCGGGUCUGUGUGACGGGCUCUCCCCCAGCCCCGGCCGCCGGCGUCAUGCUCGCCUCUCGACGAGAGCGCCCGGGCUCUUCCCCGGAGUCAGUGCUUAACACCCCGAGGCCCGGUUCCAAGAAGAAGUGUUGUUUGGCCAGAAGUGCUGGUGUGAAGGGACGUGGCCAGGGUCAGUGGCCACCCAGGAAGACGAGGCGGUGCCCAGGCCAGGAGGAGCCUGAGCCUCACUGCCCCGCGGUUUCAUUCACUUCCCUGUCCGCUCAGGAGUCACCUUCCUUAACAAAAAUCAGAAUGACCGUCUCGCGGGUGCUCUGCUGCCAGCGGAAACGUCUGCAGACACAGGCCCAGGCUUGGGGGCAUUGCUGCGGGAGGCCACAUGCUCGGUGUCUGUACGGACGCCUUCGCAGGUCGUGGGCUGUUUGCAGAACAGAGGCCGCCUCCACCAAGAUCGUAAACGCUACAUUUUUCUGGUCAACCAGCAAGUGGCAAACAGUUUCUGUAACGGGAACCCCUCAUGGCCCUAAAUCUCUGUCACCAACCUUUCCAUCCAGACGUCAGUUCUGAGGCCCCAUCAGUGUGUGAGGAACCGUAGAAUACAGUCUGAGGAAGGGAACGCAGCCGCACCACUGCCCCCAGAGCUCUCAGUGGCUCACGGUGUCAGUCGUCAGGCCAGCUCCCAGUCUGUAGUUAGGCUCUGAGAGUUCGGAUUCAGCACACCUCAUUCACAGCGGCGGGGGGCGGGGGGGCGCCCAUUACCAGCCGAGCUGCUCCUGCUUUUAUUGGUUUCUGCACCACGGCCCAUGAUUGACUCAUUACCCUAGUUCUCGCUCUGUGGCCCCAGAAAGAGGAGCUCCUCAUUAGUGUCUGUCCCCAUGGUGGUGUUGGCCCCGGGGACUCAUAGACACACAUACACUCUUGUGACCAUUUGAGAGCUUUUCCGCCCCAGAAAAGGCAUAUGGUUUGCAUUGAACUUUCAGGCUAGCUAUUUCUUUUUGCCUUAUUUUCUCCAUUCUUGCUAAAGACGGCACUUGAUUUAGCUGAAAAUAUAAAAACAAGUUGUACUUUAAAGUCUUAUUUUUCUCAGUUAACUCUAGUUUUAAUAUGUGAAAUGUUGUAAUUCUAAGGUUUAAGUAUCAUUAAAAAUAAUCCUUUAUUUUGAUCUUAUUGUAAACAAGUAAUGGAAUUCUAAAGGAAGAUAAUAUAAGCAUUAUCCAUUUAUUUGUGAAAGAUUCAAUUCCAUUAUGGUAGAGAUUCCCCACCAAUUUGUUCCUAAACAGGUCCCCACCUCCACUCAGGACCCCCAGGAAACCCUCCCUGAUUCUGUCUACUUGAAAGGCCGUGUCCUUUGAUGAGCUCAUGGCCUGGAGGAACCUGCAUGCCAGGCGGGUGCCAGAGAGAGGACAGGUGUGCUAGUAACCCUGUCAAAGACCCAGAGACCCUGGCAGAACUCCAGAGGAUAAGGUAUGGGUUCCUGGUAACAGAGACUCGGUAAAAUGAGAAAAAGGUGGUAUCAGGACUAUGUCUAACUCCUAACGGUGCCUUGAUGUCCCAUAGUCUUGCGACCUCUGUAGGGAGAGGCCACCUGUUUCCUCUGAGGGAGUCUCACCCGUGGUGGGGCUGCUCUGUAAGUGGUUAGUGUCCCCUGACCAUCCCAGCAGCCAAGCAGUGACUGGGCUGGACCUCUGGAGUCCUGGUCUCGAAGGUGAUGUGGGUCCUGGCUGGACGCGGCUUCCCUCUAGGCUCUCCGUCCGGUCACACACACAGGCAGGAAACAGGUGGAAGAAACCACGCCGGCCACCCAAAGUAAUCAACCGGAAUUUUCAUUCACAAACAUGAAUGAAUAGCCGUGAUCAUUUGAGGAAAAUAAACAGCACAAACGUGAAUGUUCUGUAGGAGAAAAUCGAACAACAGGAGAAACAGUCCUAACUCCGGGCAUAGAAGAGAAUACAAAGAGCCAACCUUGGGCGUCGACACCGAGGGCUCUGUGAGUGUGGAAGGCGGGUGUCAGUCUGAAGGUCUAGAAGGCAUCCAACAGAUGCAUCAGUUACGUGUGUCAUAGGCAGUGUUCUGGGUUGGGACGAGGAGCGAGCAGAACCAAACUCGCCCCCAGACUGUCAUUCUUGUGAGCGGAGGAAGGUAUGUCACGUGUGUCUCUGGAAAUCGGAGCAGGAAAGCAUUAAAUGUAAAGAGUCAGGAGAUGUGGAGAGCUAAUCCGGUGUCCCUCUGGCGGCAUUUCAGAAACAGAAAGCAGAGGAGGAGAUGACAGAAGAAAAUUGGGGGUACUGAAGAAACGCACGAGUACCGCAAUGGAAAGAACGCGCUGGGUCGUGAGCAGAAUUAAUUUUUAAAAAUCCAUUCCUAGCACAUCCUUACAAAUUUCAGACCAGCGGAGAGAUAAAGAGAAGGUGCUGAAAGCUUCCAAAUUAACUAGAGUGAGUAUCCGGUUUAUGUAACACUUACCAGGGACACUGGAAGCCAGCGCUGACGAGAAAAUGGUUUUUGUAGAAUUUCUUAUUUAACCAAAUAUUAAGCAUUAGGACAAAGUGAUAAUUUUCAGUUAUUCAAGGGUUCAGAGGGUUUCUUUCCAAUAUAUAUAUUUGUUUGAGGAAAAAAAAGUAAAGAUACUCUAGCAAAAUGAAAAAGGCAUCUAAGAAAGAGAGAAAUGUGAAAUCCAAGAAAGAAUACUUUGUAAAUCUAAGAAUACAGUGAAAUAGAUAAGUUGUCAGCAAGACUAAAUUGUAACAGUUCCAUGUUAGAAUGGAGAAUCGUAUCAGAGAACUCUAAAAAGAAUGUUUUCUUCCGGAAAAAGUGAAUGCAUUUUAACAUAGCCUAAGAAACUACCGUAACUAUCGUAAAUGGUCUUUGCAAUAAUGUGAAAGUAAAUGUUUCUCAGUGAACAGUUAAAAAAAAAGGAAAAUGGCAACUCCAGGAAACACAAAAAGCUCUUUAGGCAAGGGGGGGUAAACGGCUGUGCUGCGGCGGCUGAGAUUGUGUCCCGUGGAGUUGCCCCAGGCACCCAGAUUAGACAUUGCUUUGGUCCGGGAGGGUGUUUGCCGGGUAAAUUAGCAUCUCCCCGCCGUGGAGGACAUCUUCUAGCCUCUGAGGAACAAAGAAUGCACAACACAAAGUAGCACAAAGAGUGGCGGAGCGGGGAAUGUACUUCUGUUUCCCCGCCUCACUGAGGGCGCCAGCGUGCGGCCUUCUUCUGCCGUCGGACCAGGGUUUACCCCAUCCGCCCUGGUCGUCAGGCCUCGGGGCUCAGAAUGAGCACCACUGCCAGGUUCUAACCUAGCCCUGGCAUGGUUUUGAGGACUUGGUGUGAGAUGGGACAGAGUCCGUUCCAAGUGGACGCUUGAAAUGGUCUCCUUGAAGUCGUUUGGACGUAGUAACAGGAUGAACACUGUCUUCUCAAGUCUGUCACACUACGCAGCUCUGCCAGGCCUCACACAGUCACGGUCACAGGUAAUUAAAUCCAGACUCAUUAACUGUACAGGUGACCUCCUCUUACUGCAGACCUCAAAACUCAAAGUUAGCUCUAAAAAGUUGAUAUUGAAACCAAAAGUCCUCAGCCACUGGGAGGUUAGACUCUCGGCAGUAAUUCUUCAAUCAGAGAAGAACCCAGUCCUUAAACUGGAUGCCUAGAAUACACACAUCAGAAAUGAUGAGACAGAGCCACAGUUUUACUCGGCAGAAUCGUGCACGGCCCCGAAGGAAUGAAUGAAAAACAAUGAGCUAAGCAUUCGGCCCCGAACUGAGAAGGAAAGCUGCAGCAGAGCUGAGUAAGACGCUGACUGCGGGAGGACGGAAGAAAAUCAGACACACAGAAAGCAAAGGGGAGGACGGAGCAAGGAACAAGAUUAUAGGCCAUCAGUGAGAGUAAACGUGUUGAUUUGAAAGAACCGUGAGAGAGAUCUACCACCAUCAGAGAAAAGUCGAAAUGUCAGACAAAACAAAAGUAAUGGUAGGAUUCGCUGCACCUACCGAUAUGGAGGCGGCCGCAGAAUUUUAAAAUAAUUCUUUAUUCAACUCUAAUACUGAUAAAUUUGGAAAUCUCAACAGCAACAACAAAAGGACAAGCGAGUUGUAAAUUGCCAAAAUGUACCCCAAAGGAAAUGCAGAAAUCUGGCAAAGGAAAUUUCCAGCAAAGACUUGGAAAAUACUAUCAACACAUUACCUUCCAGUACGUUCAGAGUUGAAUCAGUCUGCCAAA